GGCUCAGGACGAACGCUGGCGGCGUGCCUAAUACAUGCAAGUCGAGCGGACAGAAGGGAGCUUGCUCCCGGAAGUCAGCGGCGGACGGGUGAGUAACACGUAGGUAACCUGCCCCUUAGACUGGGAUAACUCCGGGAAACCGGAGCUAAUACGGGAUAAUAAAGAGAAUCACCUGAUUCUCUUUUGAAAGACGGUUUCGGCUGUCACUAAGGGAUGGGCCUGCGGCGCAUUAGCUAGUUGGUAAGGUAACGGCUUACCAAGGCGACGAUGCGUAGCCGACCUGAGAGGGUGAUCGGCCACACUGGGACUGAGACACGGCCCAGACUCCUACGGGAGGCAGCAGUAGGGAAUCUUCCGCAAUGGACGAAAGUCUGACGGAGCAACGCCGCGUGAGUGAGGAAGGCCUUCGGGUCGUAAAGCUCUGUUGUGAGGGAAGAACAAGUACCGGCGUAACUACCGGUACCUUGACGGUACCUCACCAGAAAGCCACGGCUAACUACGUGCCAG
rnacentral:rRNA from 2 species